UACGGAAGGUGCAAGCGUUGCUCGGAAUCACUGGGCGUAAAGGGUGCGUAGGCGGGUCUUUAAGUCAGGGGUGAAAUCCUGGAGCUCAACUCCAGAACUGCCUUUGAUACUGAGGAUCUUGAGUUCGGGAGAGGUGAGUGGAACUGCGAGUGUAGAGGUGAAAUUCGUAGAUAUCGGGAGGAACACCAGUGGCGAAGGCGGCGAUCUGGGAAGAUACUGACGCUGAGGUGCGAAAGCGUGGGGAGCAAACAGG
rnacentral:rRNA from 1 species